CAUUUGGUAAAGGCGGGGCUGAGAGGACGUUCCAUGGACCCAGUAGACAGGCAGCUUCUGAUUCCAGGAACAACAUGUCUGUUUUUCAGUUUAUCU
rnacentral:miRNA from 1 species